UACAGAGGGGGCAAGCGUUGUUCGGAAUUACUGGGCGUAAAGGGCGCGUAGGCGGCCUGUUAAGUCGAACGUGAAAUCCCUGGGCUCAACCCAGGAACUGCGUCCGAUACUGGCAGGCUUGAAUUCGGGAGAGGGAUGCGGAAUUCCAGGUGUAGCGGUGAAAUGCGUAGAUAUGUGGAAGAACACCGGUGGUGAAAACGGUUUACUGGGCUGGAACUGACGCUGAGGCGCGAAAGCAUGGGGAGCAAACAGG
rnacentral:rRNA from 1 species